GUUAGGUGUAUUGGGUUUGUGUGUGUGUGUUAGGUGUAUUGGGUUUGUGUGUGUGUGUUAGGUGUAUUGGGUUUGUGUGCGUGUUAGGUGUAUUGGGUUUGUGUGCGUGUUGGGUGUAUUGGGUUUGUGUGCGUGUUAGGUGUAUUGGGUUUGUGUGUAAUGUGUGUGAGUGUAGUGUGUGUGUGUGUGUGUGUCUGUUAGGUGUAUUGGGUGAGUAGUGUGUGUGUUGGGUGUAUUGGGAUCAUGUGUGUGUCUGUUAGGUGUAUUGGGUGAGUGUAGUGUGUGUUAGGUGUAUUGGGUUUGUGUGUAAUAUGUGUGAGUGUAGUGUGUGUGUGUGUUAGGUGUAUUGGGAUCGUGUGUGUGUCUGUUAGGUGUAUUGGGUGAGUGUAUUGGGUUUGUGUGUGAGUGUAGUGUGUGUUAGGUGUAUUGGGUUUGUGUGUGUGUGUUAGGUGUAUUGGGUGAGUGUAGUGUGUGUUAGGUGUAUUGGGUUUGUGUGUAAUGUGUGUGAGUGUAGUGUGUGUGUGUGUUAGGUGUAUUGGGAUCGUGUGUGUGCCUGUUAGGUGUAUUGGGUGAGUGUAGUUUGUGUUAGGUGUAUUGGGUUUGUGUGUAAAAUGUGUGAGUGUAGUGUGUGUGUGUUAGGUGUAUUGGGAUCGUGUGUGUGUCUGUUAGGUGUAUUGGGUGAGUGUAGUGUGUGUUAGGUGUAUUGGGUGAGUGUAGUGUGUGUUAGGUGUAUUGGGUUUGUGUGUAAUAUGUGUGAGUGUAGUGUGUGUGUGUGUUAGGUGUAUUGGGAUCGUGUGUGUGUCUGUUAGGUGUAUUGGGUGAGUGUAGUGUGUGUUAGGUGUAUUAGGUUUGUGUGUAAUAUGUGUGAGUGUAGUGUGUGUGUGUGUGUUAGGUGUAUUGGGUGAGUGUAGUGUGUGUUAGGUGUAUUGGGUUUGUGUGUAAUAUGUGUGAGUGUAGUGUGUGUGUGUGUGUGUGUGUUAGGUGUAUUGGGAUCGUGUGAGUGUGUGUGUGUUAGGUGUAUUGGGAUCGCGUGUGUGUGUGUGUGUGUGUUAGGUGUAUUGGGAUCGUGUGUGUGUGUUAGGUGUAUUGGGUGAGUGUAGUGUGUGUGUUGGGUGUAUUGGGUUAGUGUGAGUGUAUGUGUUAGGUGUAUUAGGUUAGUUUGAGUGUAGUGUGUGUGUUAGGUGUAUUGGGAUCAUGUGUUAGGUGUAUUGGGUGAGUGUUGUGUGUGUGUGUGUGUGUUAGGUGUAUUGGGAUCAUGUGUGUGUGUUAGGUGUAUUGGGUUUGUGUGUGAGUGUAGUGUGUGUGUGUUAGGUGUAUUGGGAUCAUGUGU